rnacentral:lncRNA from 1 species
UUUAGCUUAGUCAAUAUACUCAUGGAUUGCGAGGCAAAUCCAUACUGACGUGGGUUAAUCUCAACAAAAAAAAUGUGAUUAUGUGCUAAAACAUAUGCUAGCGUGGAACAAUCUCAGAUGCUUGGGCUGUGAGGCCAAGGUCAAUAUUACAUCCAAUGAUGCUAUGGUCUUGCUGAAUUAAUGUAUGAAACGGUUCACAGUAUCGAUCUUAGCUCAGGCCAUACAAAUGCUGCUACCAUCAACAAUAGGAUGUACACCACAACAGGAUGUACAUGCUUGUCAUUCCAUAGUCCCUGGGAUGCCACACGUUGCCAUUCAUGACCACAAUCCAAUAUCCACCAUGAAAAGCUCUGGUUACAACAGCGGCACUGGAAUGUUGUGAUGGUGGCAUGGUGACAUUGGUAGCAAAGUUAGCACAAUCAGUCGCGCGCCUGGCUGCUGCUUGGUGCUCAUGUGUUCAUGCUGCCAUCACAAUGAGAACGGGUGAUACCAAGGGUCUGUCGUGUUAUUGGACGAGACAUGAUCUAGUGAGGACAUAAGAAUGUCAUACUGAAUAUGGUCACUGACUUGCACUGAUGGAUUUUGCUGAAUAUUGUGGAUGAUGUGUUCCUGAUGCCACACAUUCCUAUCUG